CUUAAAUAAUUUAAAUAAAAUAUUGAUUUGUGGUAUCAAAAAUAUGAGUGAAGAUUCAUUUUAGGUU
rnacentral:tRNA from 1 species